rnacentral:sRNA from 12 species
GAUUGUCAAGGUCACGGCUUUGGCAACACGAGAACAAUAAAUGAGUUCAAGCGAGCUUAAUUCUUUCAGCUAUGCUGUAAACACAUUAAUAAUG